GACGAACGCUGGCGGCGUGCCUAAUACAUGCCAGUCGAACGCUGAAGGAGGAGCUUGCUUCUCCGGAUGAGUUGCGAACGGGUGAGUAACGCGUAGGUAACCUGCCUGGUAGCGGGGGAUAACUAUUGGAAACGAUAGCUAAUACCGCAUAAGAGUAGAUGUCGCAUGACAUUUGCUUAAAAGGUGCAACUGCACCACUACCAGAUGGACCUGCGGUGUAUUAGCUAGUUGGUGGGGUAACGGCUCACCAAGGCAACGAUACAUAGCCGACCCUGGAGGGGGAUCGGCCACACUGGGAAUGAGACACGGCCCAGACUCCUAAGGGAGGGAGCAGUAGGGAAUCUUCGGGCAAUGACGGAAGUCUGAACGGGCAAAGCCGGGUGAGGGAAGAAGGGUUUCGGAUCGGAAAGAUCUGUUGUAAGAGAAGAAAGAGUGUGGGAGUGGAAAGUGCACAUUGUGACGGUAGCUUAUCAGAAAGGGACGGCUAACUACGUG
rnacentral:rRNA from 1 species